rnacentral:rRNA from 1 species
AACGUAGGUCCCGAGCGUUAUCCGGAUUUACUGGGCGUAAAGCGUGUUCAGGCGGUCUAGCAGGUCGGGCAUGAAAUCUCUCGGCUCAACCGGGAGGGGUUGUCCGAUACUGCUGGGCUUGAGGGCAGCAGAGGGUGGUGGAAUUCCGGGUGUAGUGGUGAAAUGCGUAGAUAUCCGGAGGAACACCAGUGGCGAAGGCGGCCACCUGGGCUGUACCUGACGCUCCAACACGAAAGCUAGGGGAGCGAACGGG